rnacentral:rRNA from 1 species
AACGAACGCUGGCGGCGCGUCUUAAGCAUGCAAGUCGGACGGCAAGAGAAGUGCUUGCACUUCUCCUAGAGUGGCGGACUGGUGAGUAACGCGUGGGUAACCUGCCUCAUACAGGGGGAUAACAACUGGAAACGGUUGAUAAUACCGCAUAAGCGCACAGCAUCGCAUGAUGCAGUGUGAAAAACUCCGGUGGUAUGAGAUGGACCCGCGUCUGAUUAGCCAGUUGGCGGGGUAACGGCCCACCAAAGCGACGAUCAGUAGCCGGCCUGAGAGGGUGAACGGCCACAUUGGGACUGAGACACGGCCCAAACUCC